UUUCUUUAAUAUUUUGCUUGGUAAAGAAAGUAACUUAUUGUUCUCUCCUUGGAGAAGUGUACACUGUACACGAGCUGUUUUGUGCUUCUCCUUCACAAGAUAAGUUUUAGAUGGAAAUUCUGUGAUAGCUGUUCCUUUUUCUAGAUUUCAUAGUAAAAAUAGCUUUUUGCCUUGGACUACAUAUUCUCCAAGCUCCUCAUAUCCCGUUUCCCUUUACUUUACAAUCAUGACAUGAUAAAUCCAUUCAACAGUCUUCUAUUUAGCUUAGAAUAACUAUGUUUCUUAUGUUGUAAUUGUUAUAAAAUUAAAUGAGUAAGAAUAAUAAAUUUGUUGUUUGUAUAUGUAGAUGGAAUAUCGUAUGUGGAUGUACGAUAAGAAUCUUUCUAAUCGGCGGAGUUUAAGAAAUGAAUUUGUACAAGGUGUUGAUGAGUUUAUUAAUCAUGCUAAGUCAUUUAGCCAAAAUAAGGAGAUGAUUAGGUACCCUUAUGCGAAAUGCAAGUGCAGAAAAUGGUUGAAACUAGAGGACUACAAGGUAUUGGGACAUCCGCCACCAUGCAAAAUGAGGACCUUGAGGAGAUGCAGCGAACAAUUCAACAACUUUCUAGGAAUUGUGCGGAAGCAUGAAGAGAAGAAUAGAGAUUCGCUUAGGAAUGACAUCGAGUCCCUCAAGGCUCAAGUGAAUCACUUAAUCGGCUUGCCCCGCUCUCCACCAAAAAUCCACAUUUAGGAAGAGGAUGAAAGUGAUGGAAAUAAUACAAAUGAUGAAGAAGAUGAGGGGGAAUCCAAAGAUGAGUGAUUUUAUGUUUGGCUGGAUGUUGUUUAGUUGGAUGUUAACUUUGAAUGUUACAUUUUGAUGUUUGGUUAGAUAAUUUUGAUGAUUGAUAGGAUAAUUUGGAUAUUUGGAUGUUUGAUGGGAUAAUUUGGAUGUCUAGAUAUAGUUUAUAAAGUUUUUUUUGUUGUUAA